rnacentral:rRNA from 1 species
UACGUAGGGUGCAAGCGUUAAUCGGAAUUACUGGGCGUAAAGCGUGCGCAGGCGGUUCCGCAAGUCAGAUGUGAAAUCCCCGGGCUCAACCUGGGAACUGCAUUUGAAACUACGGAGCUAGAGUGUGUCAGAGGGGGGUAGAAUUCCACGUGUAGCAGUGAAAUGCGUAGAGAUGCGGAGGAAUACCGAUGGCGAAGGCAGCCCCCUGGGAUGACACUGACGCUCAUGCACGAAAGCGUGGGGAGCAAACAGG